ensembl:lncRNA
GGGCGAAGCCAGUUUCAGGUCGCCCCUGGGGCGGGAGCCGCGGUCGGUUUCCCCACGCGUGACGCAAGCAGCCCACCCCCGCCCCCUCAGGCUGUCCCGUCUAUCACAGGCACUACGGUAGCCGGCCCGUGCCGGCCGCGCGCGGCCGCACGCGCGCUGCCGCGGCCGUUACUGGUCCGGGGAGCGCGGGGCGCGGGCUGGACGUUAACGCCUCGCUCCGCAGAUGGCCCGGGCUGGAACCGCUCCGGUAGCCCAAGGUGAAGGGCUUGGUGCCACAACCCGCAGUCUUAGCCGCCUGCUGCAGUAAAAAUAACACCCUAAUACCACUGGAAGAAUUCUUCAUGUCAUAAUAAACAAGCUGUACACUAAGAAUUGAGAAAUAAGAAGAGUGAGAGAUCUGGGGAAAAGAAUAAUCAAAAAUUGACUUAAGAAAUCCUAGAGAAAAGCAGAGGAAAAAGCCCAUAAAUGCACCUGUUCCAUUCAUCUACCACUCAGCGGAAAUAGCUGCUUCCCAUUAACUGGGCUAGGGGGUAAAUGAAGCAUCUUUGUUCUUGAGGUUAUGCCACAAGCAUCGGGUACACUUCUCCUGGGCUGCUCCUGCGCUGAUGUACCUGUACAACAGCAGUAGCACUAACAGCUUACAAGUUAUAAUCUAAGCCUGAAGUUCCACUGUUCUGCCAGUGUUGCCCUUUGCUUUCAGAGAGUUAAAUGAACUCAACAGGGAAGGAAUGUUAAUCCCAGUGAAGAAAUUAAGGUCACUUCUUUCUGAAAGGAACAUAAUCAAUGUAACUACACAUUUCUUAUUGAGAGUUACACCAGCUGUUGCAAGUAAUGCUGAACAAAAAUAUUUCCCUGGUGACUUUUGCCUGCACUUUCAUCUGUGGCUAACUUCACUGGUUUUGUUUAAGUCAGUUUCAUCUUUUGUGUGCCUUUGUCACAUAAAGACAUAUGUUUCUAUAAAUAAGCUUCACAAGUCAUUUAGGAGAUGUGUAGGAAAAUGUAGAACUACUUUUAACUAACUUUUAUAAGUUGGCUAGAUUUUAAGCUGACUCUGCCCUUUUAACAGAUGCUCAGAAAAGUGACUGUUCUUUAUUGCCUCAACAUACCAUUUUGGGAUAACACAUCAGCCAGUCUGAUGGAAUACUUUAUGCAGAAUUACUACUUCCUCUGAGUCAGUGCUGUAAAUGACAAUUACGUCUGCAAAGAACACAGCAUCAUUCAUCUCCCUUGCUGCCCUCAUGACUAGAAGUGAUACACCUAGGGAAGGGUAUGUUACUCCUAACAAUGAUAUGGAUCUAUAGAAAUGAUGGAAUUGUCACUAGUAAAACACAAAAGACCAAAACAUUGAAUAUUUGUUCUGUUUGGCGCAUGUGGGUAAAAACUAAUUUUUUAUUACCUCACAAAGUGAGGAAAUGCAUCCUAUUCCAGCAGUAACUCAGGAGUCUGUUAGCCAUCAAAGUUAGGUUUAAAGAACCGCGUUCAGAUAACUUUGAUUAUCUAUUUUUAAACUGACUGAGCAGCUCUCUGAUUUGUUAUUUUCUAUAAAUUAGAAACAGAAAGGCAAGCCAGAGGACUUGACGUAGCUAGAGUAGUCACAGUAAAAAGGCUAAGUAGGACGACCCAGAUGUUUAUUCACCAUCAGUGUAACACCUAUCUAGGCAAAAUGAUAGGUAACUCAUACAAGUCUUAUCAGUAAGCUAUAAAAGGAAAUCAGUAGAACUAAUGUCAGUCCAUAGGGGUGUAUGAAAAAUAGAUAUAUUGACCCCAGUUUUAUUAAAUGACACACUUGAUAAAAAUAACAGUGUUUAUGUAAUAGUGUUUAUGUAAUACUUAGACUUUUUGCAGACAUUUUGACUUAUUGUUGCAUGACACUUUUUAUGUAUCAUGCUAGUUUAAUCAAUAUGGCCUGUUAAUUAAUUGAAUAUUGGUUAACUGACAACUCAAAAUGAAGCAGUAGAUGGAGAAUUCUAACUAGCAAGUAUAUUCAUAUGGGGAUUAUUUUAGGAGUUGCUUUUAGCCAUGUGUUAUUUAAUGCUUGUAUAAAUUAUAUCAAAGAUUUACAGAGUUAUUAAUGAUAGCUCUAGAUGAUCCAAAAGAUUGGGGAUGUAAUAAACAACAAAGAUAAGUCA